UACUAACAGUGGAAUAUGUAAAUGCUAUUACAAAAACAGAUAUAUUUAGCUGUUUGUAUAUAUAUACACACAUACGCACAUACAGCUGUACAUCUGUACAUAUAUGCACAAAUAGCUAAAUAUAUCUGGUUUAGUAAUAGCAUUUACAUAUUCCUCUGUUAGUAUAUUUCUCCUGGGGUAACUGAUACACACACACACACACACACACACACACACACACACACACACACAGGAAAAACUGAAUUGGGUGGAUACACUAGCAGACUAGCAGUAGAAUUUUAUCUCUGCAUAAUUUGGAUGCGUUGAGAAAAAAAGGAAGUCACUGAAAGAAUAAGGAAAAUAGAGCUCUCUACUAACGUGGAUAAAUCUGCAAAGGAGAGGGAAAUUGUUAAAGGAAGAUAAGAACAUGGAAGUGAUUGAUGAAAUUGACAACAUGAGGGAGUUUUGAGACUUGCACAUGGGUAGUAUCCAGUGAGUUGUGGGAAAUGUAAUUCAAGGAAGAUGAAUUGAAAAAUGAACAAAAAUUUCCAAAAACAGGAGUGCAGAAAAACGCAUCAAGGGAACUAUGACGCCAAGGGAGAAUUUAUUCAUAAGAUGCUGGAAUUAGUAGAGUAUCCUUGGAUACUGGUGGGAGUGACCCAUGGAGGAAAGGCUGAUGAUGGAGAGAAGGGCUAAUUGCAGGAGUGAGAUCCUUCAGAAAGAGUGAUGAGAUGCUAUCCUAAAGGAAUCUGAUAAGGAAAUGAAAAAUGAAUCAUACAUUUGUAACAAGACAGAACACCGAGAUUAUAGAUAUGGAUGUCAGCUUAUUACAAAUUUCAGGAUGGGAGAUUUUCAACUUUAUCAGUGAAGUGUGAUGCAAGAUCAUCAGCUAAGAAUGUUGGGAGUGGGAGCCUUCGGGCCAGAGGAGAAGCUGUGAAUGAAAGAAAAACAAAUAAACAAAAAAGAAAACAGAGGCAGAGUUGGAUUUAUGCAGCUGUAAACCAAGGAACAGCUGGGGCUACCAGAAGUUGAAAGAGGCCAGGAAGGAUUCUUCCCCUAGAGCCUCCAGAGGGAGUGUGGCCGGUUGGCACCUUGACCUUGUACUUCUGGCUUCCAGAACUGUGAGAAAAUAAAUUUCAGUUGUUUUAAGCCACCAAGUUUGUGGUAACUUGUUAGGGCAGCUCCAGGAAGCAAACACAGCUGUCAACAUGGAAAUAGUUCCUGUUCCCAAUAAAACGAACAGUACCUCUAAGUAAAUAGAAAAAAUAAUAAAACUAGUAAACUUUGCCAGUGCUGGCCUAGGUCUGUUGAGUGUAUUUGUAUCGUGCAUACGACAACUUAUAGGGCCCAUUAUCUGGCCAGUCACUGAUCUUCAACUGUAUUAGUCCAUUUUCAUGCUGCUGGUAAAGACACACCUGAGACUGAGCAAUUUACAAAAGAAAGAGGUUUAACUGGACUUACGGUUCCACGUGACUGGGAAGGGUUCACAAUCAUGGCAGAAGGCAAGAAGGAGCAAGUCAUGUCUUAUAUGGAUGGCAGCAGGCGAAGAGAGAAUGUACCAGCAGGGGAAAUGCCAGAUGCUUAUAAAACCAUCAGAUCUCUUGAGAACUCAUUCCCUAUCACAAGAACAGUAUGGGGGAAACUGCCCCCAUGAUGUAAUUAUCUCCAUCUGGCCCCAGCCUUGACAUGUGAGGAUUAUUACAAUUCAAGGUGAGAUUUGGGUGGGGACACGGCCAAACCAUAUCAUUGACCAAUCUGUUGACAAUUGCCUGAAAACGUCAGCAGAGCCAUCUGGAAUUCUGAAAUAAUAGUGCAUGGCAUGGGGGUGGGACUCAUUUUCUUAUCUAAAAUUAAAAGCACUAAUAUCUCAUCUGAGAACUUAGUUUUUUUGAAAAUUGAAAGAGAAAACUCGAUGGAGAAUGAUUAUGAAAGGAAAGGGAAUGUUGUGUUAAUUUGUUUAUUUUUUUUUUUCAGUGGAAGUAAGUUAGUAAGUGACUGUUCUUCCUCCAGUUUCGGGUAAACAUUCUUUGCACAGGAUCUGAU
ensembl:lncRNA